AUUGAACGCUGGCGGCGUGCUUAACACAUGCAAGUCGAUCGGUAACAGGUGUAGUAAUACAUGCUGACGAGAGGCGGACGGGUGAGGAAUAUUUGGGAAUCUGCCCAUCAGCGGGGGACAACCCGGGGAAACCCGGGCUAAUACCGCAUACGCUCUACGGAGGAAAGCCGGGGACCGCAAGGCCUGGCACUGAUGGAUGAGCCCAAAUCGGAUUAGCUAGUUGGCGGGGUAACGGCCCACCAAGGCGACGAUCCGUAGCUGGUCUGAGAGGACGAUCAGCCACACCGGAACUGAGACACGGUCCGGACUCCUACGGGAGGCAGCAGUGGGGAAUAUUGGACAAUGGGGGAAACCCUGAUCCAGCGACGCCGCGUGGGUGAAGAAGGCCUGCGGGUUGUAAAGCCCUUUCGGUAGGGACGAAAGCUCUUGCUCUAAUAAUGCAAGAGGUUGACUUAACCUACAUAAGAAGCACCGGCUAACUCUGUGCCAGCAGCCGCCGUAA
rnacentral:rRNA from 1 species